rnacentral:tRNA from 2 species
CAGGAUAUAGCUUAAACAAAGCAUUUUGCUUACACCAAAAAAAUAUCUAUGAAUAGAUUAUUCUG